rnacentral:rRNA from 1 species
UACGGAGGAUGCAAGCGUUAUCCGGAUUGAUUGGGCGUAAAGCGUCUGUAGGUGGUUACGCUAGUCGGCUGCUAAAGAUCAGGGCUGAACCCUGAGCAAGCAGUCGAAACUGCGUGGCUGGAGUACGGUAGGGGCAGAGGGAAUUCCCGGUGUAGCGGUGAAAUGCGUAGAUAUCGAGAGGAACACCAGUGGCGAAGGCGAGUCCCUGGACAACACCUGACACUGAGGCACGAAAGCUAGGGGAGCAAACAGG